GAUGUUUUGGAACCUGCUAAAUAGUCCCAUUCUGAAAGUUAUCUUUUCUUUUGGCAAAGAAUUUAUUGGCACAUAGCAAGUUUAAAAAUGGCAACAGAGCACUGCGGUCAUUUGCUGUUAUGUACAGACUCCAGUACUAGCUACAGGACCCGUGGGGGUGUGGAGGCUGCGGCGAUGCUCAAAGUGGGCAGCAAGUUUUAUACAUUUGAUGAGUUAAGCAGCCGUUUGGAGGAAUUUCAAGACCUUGAACAGGUUCAGCUUUGGGUGAGGGAUUCAAGAACUGUUGUUGCUGCUGCAAAGAGGGCACGUCGAAAGUCCCUCAACCCAGCCCUUAAAUAUGCCGAGCUGACCUACUCCUGUGUUUUUGGAGGACGCAGACCGUCCGACCAAACAAAAAUACACAAUCAGACAUCAGCAGGAGGUUGCCCAUUUAAGGUCCGACUGUCAACAUCUAUCGAUGGUCAAGCCCUAGUUGUUAAAGAAAUAUGCCAUGAACAUAAUCAUGAACCAGGGAAAAAAUUGCAUGAAGAACCACGGCGUUUGUACAAAAAGACUCAAAACCGUACAACUGUGCGAAAACCCGUCCGUUACAUUGUAAACAAGCAGCGAGUCUCUAGUGGCACAUGCAAGACUAAGAGUCGUCUGGACCACACUGAGUCUCAUGUCCAGUUGGGACAGUCACCCUUCCACCACCUUCAGCUUCACCAGCAACAGUACCAGCAACAACAACAGUUGAAACUACAGUUGCAACAACAUCUACAACAGCAGCAGCAGCAGCAACAGCAGCAGCAGUUGCAUGAGAAGGAAGCUGAGGUGAUCCAGCUGGACUCUCCAGACCAUGUUGACACACCAGAGCACCUGAGUUCUCCUGAUCUCUCCACCACCUUUGAUCAGCUGGGUUCACUCAAUAACUCCGUCGAUCAGUACACGUACCUGCCACCCUCACCAAUCUCUCCGAGGAAUCUUGGCUGUAGCCGCUUGUGGAAGUGGCGACCACGGGGCUAGUGAACUUGUGGGUCGCUUCAUCUCAUUGUCGACUGAUCCAUCACUAGUUUGAACCUUUGACAUCUAACUCGACAUCAACCCAAUACCCAUUGCACGUUCCCAAACCUCAUUCAUGUAGAUCCUGUCUAGUGGUUGUCCAGUUGACUGUGAAGAAGAAGAACGGUUGGAGCCUAUUUUGGAUUUGGAGGAGGCCUUGGAGGAAGCCCUAGGUGACCUUGAUAGUGUGGGCAGCAUGGAGGUAGAUGCCAACCUCCGACUAACCUCUUCUGGGAGCACCUCCUCCAGCUUGGUGUCUCAGUCAGAAACAACAGCCACCGAUGAUCCCACAGGUCCUCCUCCUGCCAAAAGGCAACGGGGACGUCCCAGAAAGCAGUCAUUUACAGGAAGUACGUUUGAUAAUAGUGUGGACAUUCCAGAUCUUGAUUUCAGUCUAAGCGACUUGAUGGACUUUGACGUCUAUCUGUUUUAGCAUCGGGACGAUGGUGAGAGGAACUAUCACCUGUAGCUACAAAGUCUGAGUUCAAACUUGUACAGUUGCCCCCUUAUAUGAACUGGACUUCAUAAUAGUUGAUCCAAGCGUAGUAAAGUCUUGUACUUUUCUUUUGUAAAUCUUCCCUUCUAUUCUGUUUAUAUCAGUUUUUAUGGAACUGAGCUUGAGUUAACAAGGUUUCACUCUUUAGGGUCAUGGCUAUAUUUUUAGUUCUGGUUCCAUGGUAGUAAUAUACUCAUGAAAGAAAUGUCACUUGUAAAAUUGCACAUGAACAAAGAGCUGGUUUAAAGAAAUAUAACCACAAAGCUUUA